rnacentral:rRNA from 1 species
AUAGGUUAAGUUAAUAAGGGCGCAUGGUGGAUGCCUUGGCACUAGAAGGCGAUGAAGGACGUGACUAACUACGAUAUGCCUCGGUUAGCUGUAAGUAAGCUUACCCGGGGGUUUCCGAAUGGGGCAACCCGAUCUUAAUGAUCAUCAUCUUUUUGAAUUCAUAGAUUAGAUGAAGCAAACGCUGUGAACUGAAACAUCUCAGUAGCAGUAGGAAAGUAAAGAAAUUUCGAUUCCGUCAGUAGCGGCGAGCGAACGCGGAAGAGCCCAAACCUGGAUGCUUGCAUCCAGGGGUUGUAGGACUGAUGUUGAGU